rnacentral:snoRNA from 1 species
ACCCAUGUGGGUCAGUUACAUAAUGGCAAUCAGAUCUAAAUAUUGGUCUGAGUGGCUGAAAAAGAAGGAAAAGUAAAACUGAAGUGGACUUGGAGUCUUUAAUAACUUACAAGUUCAUUUCAAACAUAG